rnacentral:rRNA from 1 species
GAUGAACGCUAGCGGCAGGCCUAAUACAUGCAAGUCGAACGAGAUUAAGAGGCUUGCUUCUUAUGAAAGUGGCGCACGGGUGCGUAACGCGUAUGCAACCUACCUUAAUCAGGGGGAUAGCCCGAAUAAAUUCGGAUUAAGACCGCAUAAAAACACAGGAUAGCAUUAUCCAAUGUUCAAAUAUUUAUAGGAUUCAGAUGGGCAUGCGUGUCAUUGGCUAGUUGGCGGGGUAACGGCCCACCAAGGCGACGAUGACUAGGGGAUCUGAGAGGAUGACCCCCCACACUGGUACUGAGACACGGACCAGACUCCUACGGGAGGCAGCAGUAAGGAAUAUUAGUCAAUGGAGGGAACUCUGAACCAGCCAUGCCGCGUGCAGGAAGACAGGCCUCUGGGUAGUAAACUGCUUUUAUUCGGGAAUAAACCUUUCUACGUGUAGGAAGCUGAAUGUACCGAAGGAAUAAGGAUCGGCUAACUCCGUG